rnacentral:lncRNA from 1 species
AAAAAAAAAGGUUCGAGUAGAACUUAUUCAUUGUUUCUAUAGAAUAUGUUCCUUCGCAACUUAUAUCACAGGAACUUAUUACACUUCAUUGGAACAAAAUCCAUGGAGCUGUGAUUUUUGUUCCAGAACUUAUAUCCAUUUGGUCCAAAAAUUAUCUCGGGAACAAAUUUUACAAUGCUGGAACAUAUACGUAUAUUCCGUUAUACAUUUUCCGUGAUACAAAUUUCGGUGGAACAUAUGUCCGAUGAAAUAAGUUAUCGGAACAAAUGUCACGCCGGAACGAAUUAUUUGCUACAAAAUCUUGAACGUGAUGAGCGUAGUAAGAUCAUGAUAAUCGUAGAAAAAGCG